GUGCUUGCUUCAACAGCAUAUAUACCACAAUUGGAACGACAGAAGAUUAGCGUGGCCCCUGAGCAAGAACAUAAAUGCCUCGACUGAACUUGAAGGGACAGUU
rnacentral:snRNA from 14 species